rnacentral:rRNA from 1 species
UACGGAGGGUGCGAGCGUUGUCCGGAAUCAUUGGGCGUAAAGGGCGCGUAGGUGGCCCGGUGAGUCUUUGGUGAAAGCGCGGGGCUCAACCCUGCGUCGGCCAGGGAUACUGCCGCGGCUCGAGCACUGUAGAGGCAGGCGGAAUUCCGGGUGUAGCGGUGAAAUGCGUAGAUAUCUGGAGGAACACCGGUGGCGAAGGCGGCAUCCUGGACCGGUAUUGACGCUGAGUGAGCGAAAGCCAGGGGAGCAAACGGG